CCCCUCUCAGGAUAGCACCUGGAGAGUUUCCAGUAUUCUAUCAGUCUCCGACUACGGGAGGGAGAGUCAAGCAGAGGCAUACCCAUUCCUUUCCUAGCUUGGGCAGUGACUAGCGAGUGGAAGGCAAUCUGCAACAAGU